CCUACGGGAGGCAGCAGUGGGGAAUAUUGGACAAUGGGGGCAACCCUGAUCCAGCCAUGCCGCGUGUGUGAAGAAGGCCCUCGGGUUGUAAAGCACUUUCAGUGAGGAAGAACGCCUGGUGGUUAAUACCCAUCAGGAAAGACAUCACUCACAGAAGAAGCACCGGCUAACUCCGUGCCAGCAGCCGCGGUAAUACGGAGGGUGCGAGCGUUAAUCGGAAUUACUGGGCGUAAAGCGCGCGUAGGUGGCUUGAUAAGCCGGUUGUGAAAGCCCCGGGCUCAACCUGGGAACGGCAUCCGGAACUGUCAAGCUAGAGUGCAGGAGAGGAAGGUAGAAUUCCCGGUGUAGCGGUGAAAUGCGUAGAGAUCGGGAGGAAUACCAGUGGCGAAGGCGGCCUUCUGGACUGACACUGACACUGAGGUGCGAAAGCGUGGGUAGCAAACAGGAUUAGAUACCCUGGUAAUC
rnacentral:rRNA from 1 species